rnacentral:rRNA from 1 species
AGGGCACCACCAGGAGUGGAGCCUGCGGCUUAAUUUGACUCAACACGGGAAAACUCACCCGGCCCGGACACUGGAAGGAUUGACAGAUUGAGAGCUCUUUCUUGAUUCAGUGGGUGGUGGUGCAUGGCCGUUCUUAGUUGGUGGAGUGAUUUGUCUGGUUAAUUCCGAUAACGAACGAGACUCUAGCCUACUAAAUAGAUCGUCGGCUUACAAACGCCGGCGAGACUUCUUAGAGGGACAGGCGGUGAUUCAACCGCACGAAACAGAGCAAUAACAGGUCUGUGAUGCCCUUAGAUGUCCGGGGCCGCACGCGCGCUACACUGAAGUGAUCAGCGUGCUUUUUCAACCUACUCUGUCAAGAGUGGGGAACCCAAUGAACCUUCUUCGUGAUUGGGAUAGGGGGUUGUAAUUAUUCCCCUUGAACGAGGAAUUCCCAGUAAAAGCGAGUCAUAAGCUCUCGUUGAUUUACUCCCCCUGCCCUUUGUACACACGCCCCGUCUACCUACCGAUUGAACGAUU